AGGCACUCAGUGAAUGAACAGCUAUUGUUGGGAUCAUUCUCCUCCGAUCUGCCUCAAAGUCAUCGUUGGAACAGAAGUGGAGGAUUACUAAAGCAAUACUGAAUGCCUUGUUUCGACUCUUUCAGACAUUCUUUUGCUACAUGCCCAUUGUGAACAGUGUGACCCUGUGGAAGAGAAACAUGCUACCUUCAAAAGUGAGUAAGCAGGGGUCCUGUUGUGCAGGGCUGCAUCCACACUGUCACCCUUUUGGGUUCUGGGGGCUCCAUGCCUGAGAUUUGACCCUUUAUGCCUUUUCGACCUCAUAACUUAUAAAAUAUUUAUUUUUUUAAAAUUAUAAACUAAGAAGGAUGUUAAAACACAUUACCCAUAGCAGUCUGAAUCCUGUUUGAGAAUCGUACUGUUUCUUUAUUUUGUACACACAGAUAUGUAUACUGAGGAAAACCUACAGCAUUCAUCUGAUAGCAAGAAUAGAAAUCACAGUGCCUGGGGCACUUUUGCAGUGCUGGUAUGUGGCACAACAUAGAGAAACUAGCAUAAUCCUCUUGUUUUACUAUAACCAAUAAAAAUAUAUAACUGGCUUCAUCAGGAGAAAGGCGAGCUGCCUGCCCUGACAGGACUGUUCUUUCCCAUCUCACUUCCCACUCAUUGGCUAACGAUCUGCUCUUAGUGAGAGCCAAAGUGAAUGUUUGUCCCUGCAAUGAACAUGGGAGUCUCUGUAAAUGACUGUGAUGUGCACAUGGAGAUGGUCACCAUGGCUGGCUGGCCAGUCCAGUUGUCAUGGAGCUGUGGUAGCUUCUCAGAUUUAGUCCCACCAAAGUGUUGUUUAUAAAAGCAGGAUUGAAGAAAAAGAAACCUUUCAACCAGUACUGAGAUUUACAUACCAAAGUGAUUACCUUUAUUUCCU
rnacentral:lncRNA from 1 species